rnacentral:rRNA from 1 species
UGGGGAAUAUUGCACAAUGGGCGCAAGCCUGAUGCAGCAACGCCGCGUGAACGAUGAAGGUCUUCGGAUCGUAAAGUUCAGUUGCAGGGGAAGAUAAUGACGGUACCCUGUGAGGAAGCCCCGGCUAACUACGUGCCAGCAGCCGCGGUAAUACGUAGGGGGCUAGCGUUAUCCGGAUUUACUGGGCGUAAAGGGUGCGUAGGUGGUCUUUCAAGUCGGUGGUUAAAGGCUACGGCUCAACCGUAGUUAGCCUCCGAAACUGGAAGACUUGAGUGCAGGAGAGGAAAGUGGAAUUCCCAGUGUAGCGGUGAAAUGCGUAGAUAUUGGGAGGAACACCAGUAGCGAAGGCGGCUUUCUGGACUGCAACUGACACUGAGGCACGAAAGCGUGGGUAGCAAACAGG